rnacentral:rRNA from 1 species
UCAGCCCUGCCGCGUGAUGUGAAGAAGGCCUUUUGGUCUGUAAAGCACUUUAAGCAGUGAAGAAGACCUAACGGCUUAGAUACCCGUUAGCGAUGACAUUAACUGCACAACUAAGCACCGGCUAACUCUGUGCCAGCAGCCGCGGUAAUACUGAGGGUGCAAGCGUUAGUCGAAAUUACUGGGCGUAAAGCGAGCGUAGGUGGCUUGAUAAGUCAGAUGUGAAAUCCCCGGGCUUAACCUGGGAACUGCAUCUGAUACUGUUAAGCUAGAGUAGGUGAGAGGGAAGUAGAAUUCCAGGUGUAGCGGUGAAAUGCGUAGAGAUCUGGAGGAAUACCGAUGGCGAAGGCAGCUUCCUGGCAUCGUACUGACACUGAGGCUCGAAAGCGUGGGUAGCAAACAGGAUUAGAUACCCUGGUAGUCCACGCCGUAAACGAUGUCUACUAGUCGUUGGGUCCCUUGAGGACUUAGUGACGCAGCUAACGCAAUAAGUAGACCGCCUGGGGAGUACGGCCGCAAGGUUAAAACUCAAAUGAAUUGACGGGGGCCCGCACAAGCGGUGGAGCAUGUGGUUUAAUUCGAUGCAACGCGAAGAACCUUUACCUGGUCUUGACAUACACAGAAUCUUUGUAGAGAUAACAAGAGUGGCUUCGGGAAAUUGUGA